rnacentral:rRNA from 1 species
AUGAACGCUGGCGGCGUGCCUAAUACAUGCAAGUCGAGCGAACAGACGAGGAGCUUGCUCCUCUGACGUUAGCGGCGGACGGGUGAGUAACACGUGGAUAACCUACCUAUAAGACUGGGAUAACUUCGGGAAACCGGCGCCACCACCGCCCCCCCCCUCCAACCCCCUGCUUCACUAGUGACAGACGCCCUUGCUGUCACUUAUAGACGGAUCCGCGCCGCCUUAGCUAGUUGGUAAGGUAACGGCUUACCAAGGCAACGAUGCGUAGCCGACCUGAGAGGGUGAUCGGCCACACUGGAACUGAGACACGGUCCAGACUCCUACGGGAGGCAGCAGUAGGGAAUCUGCCGCAAUGGGCGAAAGCCUGACGGAGCAACGCCGCGUGAGUGAUGAAGGUCUUCGGAUCGUAAAACUCUGUUAUUAGGGAAGAACAAAUGUGUAAGUAACUAUGCACGUCUUGACGGUACCUAAUCAGAAAGCCACGGCUAACUACGUG